GCGGGAGUAGCUCAGUUGAUAGAGCGCCGCCUUGCCAAGGCGGAGGUCGCGGGUUUGAGGCCCGUCUCCCGCU
rnacentral:tRNA from 1 species